GGUUUGCAGUUGUUACUUUUCAUUGAUGAUUCUUUUUUUAUUAUUAUUUCACCUGAGGCAGAAGCAGAAUGGGAGGCAUACAAAUCUGCUAGCCAAGAAACUGCAAUAUUUUCAAAGCUCUGAUUGCUGCAAGUUGGCGGAAAACAUCACAUUUUGGUAAGAUUCAUUUAUAUAAUGCAUUAAUGUCAGACUUAUUGAACUGGGUAUUUUCAGUUAAACAAGUGUGCUUGUUUCCCAAGAUGAAGGGGCAUUUUUACAGGGGCAUUGGGGCUUUAGAUCGCUUAUGUUAGAAGCUCAUCAGGAACCUGCUUCCUCUCACUGCUUCACCCUUAAAGACAUCACUGCCCUGGUUACCCCGCUGCUUUCUAACUCUAAAUUUCGAGGAGUUGAUAUUCUCCUGACCUCACAGUGGCCUCGAGGAGUGUGGCAGUAUGGAAACAGUCCCGUCAGCCCUUUGUUGUGCUCAUUUCAUCCAUUUCACAGGUCAUUCCCGAUCGUGUGCUCAUGUGUCUUUGACCUCUUUGUUGGAAACUGAUACAAAGUUUUGUGGGGUUUCGUCCAUCGCAGAUCUUGCUGACAAACUGAAGAGAUUGAGAUUAUGAGAGACCGCCUUACAGGUGCAGUAUUACCACUUCAGGAUCUCUUUUGAGAUGGCAUUUGUCUUACAAAAUGUGUAUGAAUUCACAGAAAUCAUGUGGUUCUUCAAGAGAAUGCCCAGCAUGUCAGUAGAUUCAUCGCCUUGUCGACAGUCCUGCCAAAAAGAAGUACUUGUAUGCAAUCAACAUUGUCCCAAUGAAAAACAUGGACCCCACAGAGUUAGUCAAACAUUCCUGUAGGGAUGUCACAGAGAAUCAAUACAGGAAGCCAACGAAAUAGAGGGCAAGAAAGAAAAACCACCACCCUUUGCGGCAGAGGCGGAGUGAAAAGAUAACUUUAACUUAUGAUCAGGAGAAACCAGCAUCGCAGUUCUUCUUUGAUCUGGCAGAGAAACCGCAUCAUCAACAGGGUCAGGGCAGGAAAAGACUCUCAGAAGGAGACCCAAACAGACCCGAAGACCCUGUGAUUCCACCUUGGCUCUAGCUACUGUACUUUGUGUCGUCCUGCCCAAACACCUGUGUUACAUGGCUCUGGCUAAGGGCAGCCUCACACCAGACCAUGUUCUCCUGCUGCCCAUUGGACAUUAUCAGUCAGUGUUGGAAUUGGCCUCUGAAGUGGUUGAGGAGAUGGAAAAAUAAAAGAGCACGGUCAAGAAGUUCUGCAAAAGCAAAGGCAGAUGGUGCGUCCUGUUUGAGAGGAACUACUGCAGUCAGCACCUCCAGCUACAGGUAGUGCCGGUUCCCAUGGAGAAGUGUAGUACAGAGGACAUCAAUGAGGCUUUCAUGACACAAGCUCAAGAGCAGUAGAUGGAACUGAUGGAGAUUCCAGCUCACACAAACCAUAAGCAGAUUGCUCCUCCAGGAACGCCCUACUUUUUUGUGGAGCUGGAUACAUGCGAGAAGCUGUUUUAUCGACUGAAGAAAAAAUUCCCUCUACAGUUUGGCAGAUAUUUGUUUCUCCUGUACAGCUUGUCAGUAGGAGCUGGUGGCCAUUCUUAAAUAGCGUUUCAGUAGUGCUUACAUUAGUUAAGGGAAGUGUUAACAAGUGAAGCAGUGUUGAACAUCCCCAUGCGUGCUGAAUGGAGAGUGUGUAAAUGCACAAGGGAGGAGGAAGAGGAUCUGACUAAACACAUCCGUUCUGACUUCCAGCCCUUUGACUUUGCCAUCGAUGUUUAUGUACAUGUCAGAUACAUCCAACUUAAACCCUUCAUGUUCAUGUGUGCAAAACCUUCAUGAACCUUCUGAAUAUGGUCAUUAUGAUGUCUGAGUAAAGUGUCCAAAAUGGUUCUUUUUUUUUUUUUUUUUUUUUACUUUUUAUGCUUUUAAAAUAUUGCUUAAUGGACACUUUUCCUCAUUUUUUUGCACAGUGUUCAAGAGAUGUGCUUUGUUUUUAAAUUGAUGCUUGGCAAUGUAUCUGAAUCUGAUAGAUGCCGUUAUGUGUGAAUUUUUUUUUGUGACUAAUUAAAGUGAUUUUUCAAGUUUGUAAUCUCAGCUUUUUUUCUUGUGGUAUAAUAUACAGGUGCAUCUCAAUAAAUUAGAAUGUCGUGGAAAAGUUCAUUUAUUUCAGUAAUUCAACUCAAAUUGUGAAACUCGUGUAUUAAAUAAAUUCAAUGCACACAGACUGAAGUAGUUUAAGUC